rnacentral:rRNA from 1 species
GCACAAGCGGUGGAGCAUGUGGUUUAAUUCGACGCAACGCGAAGAACCUUACCUGGGCUCGAAAUGUACGGGACAGCGGUAGAAAUAUCGUCUCCUAGCAAUAGGUCCGUAUAUAGGUGCUGCAUGGCUGUCGUCAGCUCGUGUCGUGAGAUGUUGGGUUAAGUCCCGCAACGAGCGCAACCCUUAUCUCCAGUUGCUACCAUUUAGUUGAGCACUCUGGCGAAACCGCCUCGGAUAACGGGGAGGAAGGUGGGGAUGACGUCAAGUCCUCAUGGCCUUUAUGUCCAGGGCUACACACGUGCUACAAUGGCCGGUACAAACCGUCGCAAACCCGCGAGGGGGAGCUAAUCGGAAAAAGCCGGCCUCAGUUCGGAUUGCAGUCUGCAACUCGACUGCAUGAAGCUGGAAUCGCUAGUAAUCGCGGAUCAGAACGCCGCGGUGAAUACGUUCCCGGGC